ACACACACACACACACACACACACACACACACAGUAUGCAGUUUCAGUAAUAUAAUUUACUAUUUAUUCAAUAGUAUAAUCGUCAUUUACUGUAACAGCCAUUUACUUAUUUAUUAAUUUUUAAUUCCUUUUUCGAAGAAGCUAAUUGGUUUUGACUUGAAAAAUACAUUUAGAUAAAGUAAUUUGAACAUUUGCUUUUAUAAAACUUUUAAUUUUCAAAUAUUUUAGAUGAUCGGAAAAAAUGAUAUCUGAUGAACGCAAAAUUUGAAGAGCGAGAGUGUUAAAACUGAAAUCUUUAACAAUUUUAAACAUUUUAACUUCAGUUUUAUAUAAAAAAAUUCGUCUAAAUUAAACUUUCAUUAAACUAAGUCGUGGAACUGGGACUUAUUGUUAGUUUUAAAUCUGGACACCGUUCAAAAUCAGAAAUAUUUUUAAUUAUUUGAAAAACGGAGACAGAAAUAAGAACAUUUUAAUUUCUUAUGGCGUUUUUGACCGGUGCUGGGUUAACCCGUCUCAGGUUCUUUUCCUCUAGAACUGACCAAUCACAGUUAUUCCCUUCUUCAGAAGAAUGACUGUGAUUGGCCUUAUGACGUCAUUAAUCGCUCCCGGAGCGAUUAACUCAGGCCGGUCGAAAACGCUAUUGAAAUUAAACACAACUUUCUUGAGUAAAUAUGAUUCUUGAACGCUAUUUGACAACCAAUCUAGAUAUCGAAACAAAUGAAAAAGAAAAGAAAGAAAACAAUGGCUGCGUUCAGCAGACACAACUGUUGUGAGUGAGCGCUCAGUAAUUCUUUAAUAUGAUUGGUUAAUACCUUUAGAUCUAACCAAUCAUAUUAAAGAAUCACUGAUUGUUCACUCAACAGUUGUGUCUGCUGAAUGCGGCCAAUGACGCGUUCAGCAGACAGAGCGGAUCAGUGAGCACUUAGUGAUUCUCUAAUAUGAUUGGUUCUUGCCUUCUUCGUUAGAUUUAGAAACCAAUCAUAGGUAAGAAUCUGAACGCUCACUAAUCAGUUCCGUCUUCUAAACGCGCCAAAUAUAUGCUGCAUUAAGAAGUAUUCGUCCUCGACUACUUUCAUUUCGUUAAUUCGCAACCGAAUUAAUGAUUGCAAUAAUACGUUUUUCUUAACAUAAUUUAUUGAUGAGACAAAUCCAUGUGAUUCAAUGGCCGCGUUCAGCAGAAAAGGCAACUUUGCAACUGUUGUAAAAUUCUUUUAUAUGAUUGGUUUAUGUAUUUAGAUCCGAUAGGAACUAAGGACAAGAACUAAUCAUGUUAAAAAAUUUUACAACAGUUACCAAGCUGUUUUUCUGCUGAAUGCAAUCUCUUGUCAUAAUUAAUCCAGCAACAAUGUUUAUUUUUCAUGACGUCGCAUCGUGAUGCGUUACCGAACGCAUUUCUCAUGUCGUCGCCACGAAUGCGCGAUUGAGUGGUCACGUGAUCGUACAAUUUGAAAGUACUGGUCAUUUCGCGCUUCGCGUACUCGCGUCGACGUACGAUAGGUAUGUGAUCUCACAACACGAUUGCUUCACGAAAUUUUCGGAGCUGUUUACCCAUUUCGUGGUGAAGUCCACGUAUGAAUGACUGCCGAGAACAUCGAGUUUAACGACAUCGAACGUCUCGUGCUGUACGAAUCGACUCGGACAACCACGAUCAACAGCCUCGACCUUCACGAUUGGUAUUGGCAUCGAGGCGUGACUGGCAACAAGUGUCGUCUCGCGCGUCUGCAACAUUAACCUCGCCUACACUGCUCGCGAUUGUCGCUGUCCCUGUCGGAAGAACACGCCUUGCAAGCACACGGAUCUGAUGGAACAUCGGAAACGUCGGAGUAUAGGCGCAUCGCAAAAAGAAAAAAGUAAAAACACAUCGAUUUCCUCACGCACACGUACACAUACGAUUGUCAUGAGUUAUCUGCGGAGCGGAGACUUCGAGAAAAAUUGUCACGAUGGAUUGGCCGAGGUGAACACAGCGGGUUUGUCGAUUGAUGAAAAAAAUGAAGGAGAUCAUCGUACGUUCGAUACAUUACCUGUGUAGGAAAUUCGAGACCGCAGUCUCUCCAGUGACAAUUCGUUUCGAUGAAGUCACCAGGUUCAUCUCUGAGAUCCUCGCUCGGACUGAGGCCUUGAGGCUAGCGUAAAAAAAAUCACGUAAACAUGGAUUACAAGAGUCUUGUUCGUAUCGUAUCGUUGCGUGACGUGCGACAUAGUACACGAUGACGGAAAACAAAAUGCAAACCGAUGCAAAUCACACCGGCGUGCAAACUUUACAACGUAUGGACGCGGGGCAGAAAAUGAAAUCGUUGCGCCUACGUUAGCGAGUGCGCACGGAUGGAAAUAAAUCAGCUCGCGGGUCCGCCACGACGAUGGCGGUAGAAGGAAACGACAAAGACGAGGAAGCUACGGUCAGAAUAAAGGAAGGAUCGGCGGGAGGGAAAAUAAAGGUUUUCGUUGUACGAUAUUUCACGAUUCAUUGCGCCAAGAAUGUGCCAAGAAUAACUGUACAGCAGCAAUACAUAUUCCGAAAUAAUCAAAAAUAAUAAAAAAUCUGUAAACGUUACAUGAUGUGGGCAUAUAAUAUUUUGAAGCAUAUUUCUGGGCAUUUUACGAAUGUUUAGUAAUUGAUGAGCAUCGAGUGUUUAAUGCUUUACACGAAUCGCUCGAAUAUGGUUGCGAUACAAGAAUAACAACGAAAUCGAACCGCAUGUCCGUUCUUUUGACAGUCUAAGCACGACACGCCGGACUUCCGGCACGUAGACUAAGCUUGCAUUUCAAUCGUAAACCUCUGUUACGAAACCAUAAAGUAAACUGCGCGUAGGUAGAAACUGUACUAUUAUAUUGUGCAUACAUGGUUACUCGAAUAAUUUCGUAAUUCGUACAACUGUAAUGUUAUGAAGUUUCACUUUACUUAUAUUUAUUAUUAUGAUUUUAUAUUAUGAUCAAUAUAGCUUCAAUUGAAUUAAGAAAAUAAAUAUCAUAAAUGAUUGAAAUACUGUCAACGAAUUCUGACAAUGAAUUCUGACAAUUUAAUUUAUGUUAGCUAUGAUACACGUGUAAGUUAGAAAUGCUGAAAA